CCUACGGGCGGCAGCAGUGGGGAAUAUUGGACAAUGGGCGAAAGCCUGAUCCAGCCAUGCCGCGUGUGUGAAGAAGGCCUUCGGGUUGUAAAGCACUUUCAGUGGGGAAGAAAGCCUUGGGGCUAAUACCUUCGAGGAAGGACAUCACCCACAGAAGAAGCACCGGCUAACUCCGUGCCAGCAGCCGCGGUAAUACGGAGGGUGCGAGCGUUAAUCGGAAUUACUGGGCGUAAAGCGCGCGUAGGCGGUCUGAUAAGCCGGUUGUGAAAGCCCCGGGCUCAACCUGGGAACGGCAUCCGGAACUGUCAGGCUAGAGUGCAGGAGAGGAAGGUAGAAUUCCCGGUGUAGCGGUGAAAUGCGUAGAGAUCGGGAGGAAUACCAGUGGCGAAGGCGGUCUUCUGGACUGACACUGACGCUGAGGUGCGAAAGCGUGGGUAGCAAACAGGAUUAGAUACCCUGGUAGUC
rnacentral:rRNA from 1 species